rnacentral:rRNA from 1 species
UACGUAGGGACCAAGCGUUUGUUCGGAUUUACUGGGCGUAAAGGGCGCGUAGGCGGUCGUGACAAGUCACUUGUGAAAUCUCCGGGCUUAACUCGGAACGGUCAAGUGAUACUGUCGGACUAGAGUACAGAAGGGGCAACUGGAAUUCCUGGUGUAGCGGUGAAAUGCGCAGAUAUCAGGAGGAACACCGAUGGCGAAGGCAGGUCUCUGGGCCACUACUG